AUUGAACGCUGGCGGCAUGCUUUACACAUGCAAGUCGAACGGCAGCACGGGGGCAACCCUGGUGGCGAGUGGCGAACGGGUGAGUAAUGCAUCGGAACGUAUCUUCAAGUGGGGGAUAAC
rnacentral:rRNA from 1 species